rnacentral:rRNA from 1 species
GACGAACGCUGGCGGCGUGCUUAACACAUGCAAGUCGAACGGAAAGGCCCUGCUUUUGUGGGGUGCUCGAGUGGCGAACGGGUGAGUAACACGUGAGUAACCUGCCCUUGACUUUGGGAUAACUUCAGGAAACUGGGGCUACUACCGGAUAGGAGCUCCUGCUGCAUGGUGGGGGUUGGAAAGUUUCGGCGGUUGGGGAUGGACUCGCGGCUUAUCAGCUUGUUGGUGGGGUAGUGGCUUACCAAGGCUUUGACGGGUAGCCGGCAUGAGAGGGUGACCGGCCACAUUGGGACUGAGAUACGGCCCAGACUCCUACGGGAGGCAGCAGUGGGGAAUAUUGCACAAUGGGCGGAAGCCUGAUGCAGCAACGCCGCGUGCGGGAUGACGGCCUUCGGGUUGUAAACCGCUUUCGCCUGUGACGAAGCGUGAGUGACGGUAAUGGGUAAAGAAGCACCGGCUAACUACGUG